UACGUAGGUGGCGAGCGUUGUCCGGAUUUACUGGGCGUAAAGAGCGCGCAGGCGGUCGUUCAAGUCGCGUGUGAAAGCCCCCGGCUCAACUGGGGAGGGUCACGCGAUACUGAUCGACUGGAAGGCAGGAGAGGGUAGUGGAAUUCCACGUGUAGCAGUGAAAUGCGUAGAUAUGGUGGAGGAAUACCGAUGGCGAAGGCAGCCCCCUGGGAUAACACUGACGCUCAUGCACGAAAGCGUGGGGAGCAACAGG
rnacentral:rRNA from 1 species